UGCAGGGUGCGCGACUGGCGAUAGGAGCCUGUUUUCAAAGGGAAACAGGGCACUCUGACGUGGAGCGUGGUGACCUGAGUCACUGCCGAACCACUGGGAAGCGCACAGCCUGACCCGUUGUCUUUCAGACCGGGCCAGGUUUUCAGCCGUUCGCCUGGGCAGCCCUU
rnacentral:ncRNA from 1 species